rnacentral:rRNA from 1 species
GACGAACGCUGGCGGCGUGCUUAACACAUGCAAGUCGAACGGAAAGGCCCUGCUUUUGUGGGGUGCUCGAGUGGCGAACGGGUGAGUAACACGUGAGUAACCUGCCCUUGACUUUGGGAUAACUUCAGGAAACUGGGGCUAAUACCGGAUAGGAGCUCCUGCUGCAUGGUGGGGGUUGGAAAGUUUCGGCGGUUGGGGAUGGAUUCGCGGCUUAUCAGCUUGUUGGUGGGGUAGUGGCUUACCAAGGCUUUGACGGGUAGCCGGCCUGAGAGGGUGACCGGCCACAUUGGGACUGAGAUACGGCCCAGACUCCUACGGGAGGCAGCAGUGGGGAAUAUUGCACAAUGGGCGGAAGCCUGAUGCAGCAACGCCGCGCGCGGGAUGACGGCCUUCGGGUUGUAAACCGCUUUCGCCUGUGACGAAGCGUGAGUGACGGUAAUGGGUAAAGAAGCACCGGCUAACUACGUG